rnacentral:tRNA from 1 species
ACUUAAAUAGCUUAUAUAGAGUAUGACUUUGAAGAUGUCAUGGAGAUUUUAAUCUUUAGGUA